rnacentral:tRNA from 1 species
GGCUUAGUAGCUCAGCUGGUUAGAGUGCCGGCCUGUCACGCCGGAGGUCGUGGGUUCGAUCCCCAUCUAAGUCGCCA